GUAUUCAAGUUGGUAAGACACUCAACUGUCAAAUUACAGGGCUCUGGUUCAAACCCA
rnacentral:tRNA from 16 species